rnacentral:lncRNA from 1 species
UUGCUCUUCAUAUGGGUCAUAUUUUCUCUCUUUUCAUAUCUAGUAAUUUUUGAUUGGGUACCAGGCCUUAUAACUUUUUUAUUAUUGAGUAAUGGCCUUUUUUAAAUUCCUUCAAAUAUUUUGGAGUUUUGUUUUUGAAUGCAAUAUAAUUUGCUGUACCAACAUUUCUCAGUAGGAGGGUAUGGGUACUACUGGCAUUUUGAGCUUGACAAUUCUUCCUGUUGUGACUGUCAUGUGCUUUACAGGAUAUAUAGCAUUCUUGGUCCACGACUAUUAAAUACCAUAGGGCCCCAGUCAGUGUGACAAUCUGAAAUAUCCUCACAAAUUUCCAUAUCCUCCUUGAUAGACCACCUAAAGUCUGAAUUCCUACUUGUUUAUUUUUUCUUUUGUUUCCCUUGUCCGUGUAGACAUUGUAUUCAAAAAGAUCCUUCUAAGACCGAUGUCAGUAUACUGCUGAUGUUUUCUUCUAGUUUUAUGGUUUCAUGUCUUACUUUCAAGUCUUUAAUCUAUUUUGAGUUAAUUAUUUGUGUAUGUCUCUGGCCUAAUUUUAUUUUUUAAAAUUAUUUUAUUAUUUUCCUUUAAGAUUGGCACCUUAGCUAAUGACCGUUGCCAAUCUAUCUUGUUUUUUUUCCCUCCUUCUUCUCCCCAAAGCCCCCCAGUACAUAGUUGUAUAUUCUAGUUGUGCGUGCCUCUGGCUGUGCUAUGUGGGAUGCCGCCUCAUCAUGGCUUGAUGAGCAGUGCCAUGUCUGUGCCCAAGAUCUGAACUGGAGAAACCCUGGGCCACUGAAACAGAGUGCACAAACUUAACCACUUGGCCAUGGGGCAGCCCCCCUGGCCUAAUUUUAAAAUCUACAUGGAUGAUCCUAUUUCUUGUUUUUAUUUGAGAAUAAUUUCAGCUACAUAGAAACUCUCCUGAAGAGAUUCUAUCUAGUCAUUUCUCUCUAGGUAAUAUUUUUAUACAGAUGACCCCCAAAUUUGUCCUCUUGAUCAACACUUUGGCUUUUUAUACAGUUGAAAACUUCCACUGAGAGAACCCUAAUAAAUGUGAUAAUGGAAAGAUAUACCUCAUUAAAUAUUGGUGGCUCUUAGUAGGUUGAAUUGUGGUGAGCUUGACUUCAAAAUCAUCAAUAAGUUCACAUAGGAAAUAAAUUUUAGGAAGGCAGUUAAGUCAGGUCCCUAAGACCACCCUCACAUUUGUUUAUUCUCUAAAAGGACUCAUAAAACUCAUAAAAGCUGCUAUACUUAUGGUUACAGUUUAUUAUAGUGAAAAGCUAUAGGUUGAAAUUAGCAAAUGUAAAGGGUGCAUAGGACAGCGUCCAGAAGAAAAUGGCGCAUACUUCCAGUUUCCCUUUCUCAGUGGGCUUGUAUAGACAGUGCUUAAUUCUUCCAGCAAUCAUGUGACAACACAUAUGGAGUACUGGCAGCCAGGGAAGCUCACCUGAGCCUUUUUGCCCAGGGUUUUUACUGGGGGUUAGUUAUGUGGGCCUGGACUAACCACAUGACUCAACUGAACUUCUGACACUCCAGCCUCCUAAAGGUCAGAGUGAUACAGCACGGCCCAGAGCCCCAGGCAGACGAAAGCAGGUGUUCACCAAGAGUCGCAUUGCUACCUUAAACUAUAUGGCAUGGCCCCAACCCCAGGUAUACAAAAAUGCUCUUAUAAGAGGCUAGAGGUUACCUCCCAGGUACCAGACAAGGGCCAGUCCUUUCUUUGGAACGUGCAGGGUUUGAAUACCCCAAACCUGGUAAGUCAACCCUUUAUUACACAGCAGUGAAUAAAGCAAGGUUUUCAGCAACAUUCUGCCUCAUAAUUUUUCAGAAAUAAGAAAUGUGUAUUGGUACACUAAAUGCCAAAGCUGGCAUGGCAUAGUUUCUCUGACAAGCAUACCCUGGGAGAUAGUGAUGAUGAGAGCUGAGCAUUAGGCUGGUUUUACAGUAGCCAUGGGGGCGACUUCUUUGGUCAUCAUGGUAGUGCAUGCAUUUUGGGUUUACCUUGACCUUUUCCAUACAUUGUACUAAAGCAUCCACUUAAGUUUUUUCAUUUGUACCAGUCCUUCAAAUUUGUACUCAGAAAAAAAAAAGAUGGAAAGAUCCAAAGUUAUACUAGGAUACUAACACCAUUGACAAUACGCAAUCUUGUGGGAAGAGGGCCCUGGGUGAUAAGAAAAAUCUCACAAAUGUCACCCUAUUUUUUAUGUAGGAGUAAUUAGGUUACAAGUCACUGCUCCCCACUCAUUCAUUUGAAACUUUGUGCUUGCUUGAAGAGGACAAAUGACUGAUGCAAGUUCCUCAGGAGCCUGGAGAAGGAACCCCCAUGGAACUUUGUUUCCAGUCUCUGAGGAGAGCACAUGGCUGGCUGAUGGUAGAAUCCUUGAGGGUGUGUGAUGAAGAUGAUUCUGAGACUGUGGGCAGAAACUGAAAACUGCAGCCAAAUGUUUCCUUUGCAGCAAGAAGAGAAAGACAGGAAAAAGCAAGUCCCUUCUCCAUAUUCCUUCUGCCUGCCCAUUCUCUCUAGUGCUCCAUAUUGGCAAAACCUAACAUGAAGGCAGCCAGCAAAAGAUAAUGUGGUUUGCAAUACCAGCCCCAGAAUUACAAAGCAGACAAUGGAAGAGUAGGUUGAGAGAUGGGAGACAAUAGCUGUAGUAACUAGCACAGCAACCUUCUUUAAUUGUGAGUAGCUAUGAUGCGUGCCUCCCCCAAUUUACAAAUAUUACAGUCUACUUAUAGAUGAGUGCAGAAUGAAAAUAUAUUUGUGAAUAGGAUGAUGCUUAUUCAAACAAUCCUUGAAUAUUUGUUGUGUAUAAGAAAAUAUGUUAGUAAAGUUAUUAGUCAUGAUGUGUGUGUGUGUGUGUGUUCUUCAGUAACUUUAAUGGGACAUAUGACACGAAACAUCACUAUGGUUUAUGACCCCAGAAUCUAUCACUCUAACCAUUUUUGUAUGUUUUUAUGUAGUAUAAAUAGCGUCAUGUGUUAUUUUAGGGACAAAUAUACAGUCUAAAAUCAUGUGAAUAAGUGGUAUUUCAGAUCACUGGGGAAAGGGAAGAUCCUUAAGGGGUGCUGGGAUUAUUGAUUAUUGAUCUGGAAAAAAAAUUAGAUCCCUACCUCAUGUCAUAUAUCAGGAUCCAUUCUCAAUAGAUCAAAGACCUAAAUUUGAAAGAUAAAACUUAAAGAUCACAAUUUUGGGGAGAUGACUGGAUUCUGAACAUUUCAAAAGGCCUCUUCCCACUGGCUUCCAACCCUGACUUCCUCAUAUUUCCAGUAAUUGACCCGUGGAAGUGCCCCAGUAACUGACCACAAGGACUUUCCCUUCACUGGCCUCCACGGAUCAUUCUUGACUGAUCCUCAAAAGCCUGCCGAUCCUAGACUACCAGGGACCUCCAUCCCAUUUAUUCCUCAAACCUUCCCAUCUACUGACCUACAGCCAGCCACCCUGAUGGGUGAAUAUAACAGGAAUUUCAAUCCUCAGGCUGGCAAUUGCUGUCCCUUUGUUUUCUCAGUCUCCUCACUGGUGAGCUGGAGAUUGGCACCUGAGCUAACAUCUGUGGUCAACCUUCUUCUUUUGUUUUCUUCUUCUCCCCAAAGCCCCCCAGUGCAUAGUUGUAUAUUGUAGUUGUAGGUCCUUCUGGUUGCGCUAUGUGGGACACCACCUCUGCAUGGCCUGAUGAGCAGUGCCAUGUCUGCCCAGGAUCCGAACUGGCGAAACCCUGAGCCACUGAAGCGGAGUGCAUGAACUUAACCACUUGGCCAUGGGGCUGGCCCGUGAGCUAACAUCUGUGCCAGUCUUCCUCUGCUUUUUGUAUGUGGGACACUGCUGAAGCAUGGCUUGAUGAGCAAUGCGUAGGUCUGCACCUAGGAUCCAAACUCAUGAACCCCAGGCCACUGAAGCGGAGUGCAUGAACUUAACCACUACACCACCAGGCGUCCCUUGUACAUCAGCUUUAAUUAUUAAAGUAAAGAAUGCAUUAAACAUUAUCCCAAAGUAAAGAGUGCACUCUUUGAAGAUGCGGAUGAAUGCCUUCCUUCCUAUCUUGCCAAAACCAGUACUCCUUUGAAGAUCGGUUUCACUUCCCAGACGUCAGGGUCGCGUUGACUUGUUGCAUAUGUGCUAAUCUGUAAUUAAGUGAUUAAGUAAUUUGAAGCGUUGAGAAAUAUGUAUCUUUGACAUGUUUGAUGUAUAUUCUUUGUUCUGGAAAGAUAUAAAAACUAUG